GAUGAACGCUGGCGGCGUGCCUAAUACAUGCAAGUCGAGCGAACAGACGAGGAGCUUGCUCCUCUGACGUUAGCGGCGGACGGGUGAGUAACACGUGGAUAACCUACCUAUAAGACUGGGAUAACUUCGGGAAACCGGAGCUAAUACCGGAUAAUAUAUUGAACCGCAUGGUUCAAUAGUGAAAGACGGUUUUGCUGUCACUUAUAGAUUGAUCCGCGCCGCAUUAGCUAGUUGGUAAGGUAACGGCUUACCAAGGCAACGAUGCGUAGCCGACCUGAGAGGGUGAUCGGCCACACUGGAACUGAGACACGGUCCAGACUCCUACGGGAGGCAGCAGUAGGGAAUCUUCCGCAAUGGGCGAAAGCCUGACGGAGCAACGCCGCGUGAGUGAUGAAGGUCUUAGGAUCGUAAAACUCUGUUAUUAGGGAAGAACAAAUGUGUAAGUAACUAUGCACGUCUUGACGGUACCUAAUCAGAAAGCCACGGCUAACUACGUG
rnacentral:rRNA from 1 species